UACGUAGGGUGCGAGCGUUGUCCGGAAUUAUUGGGCGUAAAGAGCUCGUAGGCGGCUUGUCGCGUCGGAUGUGAAAGCCCGGGGCUUAACUCCGGGUCUGCAUUCGAUACGGGCAGGCUAGAGUUCGGUAGGGGAGAUCGGAAUUCCUGGUGUAGCGGUGAAAUGCGCAGAUAUCAGGAGGAACACCAAUGGCGAAGGCAGAUCUCUGGGCCGUAACUGACGCUGAGGAGCGAAAGCAUGGGGAGCGAACAGG
rnacentral:rRNA from 1 species